rnacentral:tRNA from 4 species
GCGGGAGUAGCUCAGUUGGUAGAGCACGACCUUGCCAAGGUCGGGGUCGCGAGUUCGAGCCUCGUCUCCCGCU